CUCGUGCGGGUUGCGGAAAAGCUAAUCCUCGCCAAUUUGAGAUGGUAAUCGGUCUGGAUGGUAUAUAAGAGCGGAAGAACGGCCACAUAUUCAACCCAAUCCUGCCUAACGUCUUCUAGCGUGAACAACUCUUAGCUUUACAGCAACAUGAAGUGCCUUAUGAUGAUUGCUGCCUUCCUGAUGAUCUGGGCAACAAUUUGUUUGGCUAACCCAGCGGAAGCUGAGGUGACCAAAGCGAUUGACGGUGAUGUGCACGACCUAGUCGGAGAGGAACACUUUCUCAAGAAAUACAAGAAACACCGAGCCUACCAUCCAGUUCCCGUGUAUGGCCCAAUUUAUCACCCGGUACCUGUUUAUCAUCCCGUUCCCGUCUACCAUCCGGCUCCAUUUUACUACAAAAAGUUCCACAAGGGUUAACUGGAAUGCACACUUCUUGGUAUUCCAGUUUCUCCAGUGUCCAAUAAAAACAAAAACAGGCAGAGCUACACAUAAAAAAACAAAAACAAAAACAAAAAAACAAAAAAACAAAAAAAAAAACGACCAUAAAAUGUCGAGCUUUCUCUGCAUCAUGUACCAUUUCUUUCACCUGUCAAUCAAUCACUUGCCAACUUGUUCAACGGCACAAUGAGCUUCGAGUUAUUUGUACGUACUUAACAGUGUUUUCUCGUUCUUUUUUGUUGUUUUGUUGUUGUUGAAAUACACGCUUUUGUAAACGAA